CUUCACCGAGCCGAGCCAGAGCGGGCGCCCCUCCGGGCGGCUGCCGCCGUAGGUGGCGAGCAGGGCCUGCGCCUC
rnacentral:antisense_RNA from 1 species